GAAGAUUUAGUUAAAUUAUAACAUUAAAUUGUCAUUUUAAUAUUACUUAUAGGGUAAUCUUUG
rnacentral:tRNA from 1 species